rnacentral:lncRNA from 1 species
CGAAUCAGAAAUUGGGGUAAGAAUUAUGUUAACCCGGGAGAACGCGUUAGGCAUUCCCAACUUCCGUGGUUCUAGCAUGGUUGCUUUGAUAAUACUUGGCUUAUUAUAAUUGUCUAAUUGUUGAUUUUAGAACCUAUUAACAUUUAUCUUUCAUCGCUUUUUAAUUAAGAAAAUUAUCUAAAAACGGGUCACGUGUACGUGUACCCAUUUAUUUGGCGCAUCAAAAAUCAUAUCACACAUCCGCGAUUGAUAAUAUUUUAUUAUUAUUAAGAAAAAUUUGGCCGAAUUUGCGCGAACACAUAGUCUAGUUUUUUAGAGACCAUAGUCAUAUCACGCGAAUGUGUCCACCACCACGAUGGUAUAUUAAAUGUACCUGAGCAUACUAUAAACAUUUUCCAUUUUCUAUCAAAAUCAACACAAGGACCAUGUAUGAUUAAUUUAUGAAUGGAAAACCUCGAAUUAUUAGUAGCCUAUGAAAAGAAAUUUUAUUAUUAAGGAAAUUUGAUCAAAGUUGUGCAAACGCAUACUCCAAAAUGGUUUUUAGAAUCGUUAUUAUGUAACGUGAACAUGUACGUAACCACGACGGUAGAACAUAAAUAAACCAAUAAUCCAAAAUGAUGAGGUUACUAGCUAACACAAGAAAUACACUCAAGAAAUAUCAAGUCCAUUAUCGACAAGUUACGAACUAAUUGUCCAAAAGACGAUCAGCCAAUGUUCAUUAUAUUUAAACAGCAAAUCAGCUAAACUGAAUAAUUCCCAGUCGAUAGAACUAGAUUCAGUUAACCUCAACCAAAGAAACUAGUGAAUUAGUAGAUUAUGAUAUUAGCAGAAAACAAUAAAAGGAACCAAAAAGCUUACAGUAGAGGCGUGAAUUGUGAUUGCUUGAAGAAAAAAGACUCGGUUUCGUAGUGUGUGCGUGUUUUGCAACAAAUGAAAUCAAUAUUUCACCAAACAGCUAUAAGCAAAAGCAAUAUUAUUACCCAUAAAUUAUGACAGAUGAUAUGCAAAACGUGAAUACAUAAAAAAACAUUAUAUGGUAUUGAUGACAUUCAAAAUUCAACAAAUGCAAUCUAAGGCAGGUCAAGCUCCACAGUUUCUUGCUAACCAUGGAAAUGGCUACUACAACCAAUUGCCAGAGCAUAACAGAAGGACUAGAAAACUACAGCAGCCGACUAAGAAUUAAGUUCACAAAAGAACACUAGGACAAAAGUUUAGGCUUUAGAUUGAGAAAACAAUUUAAGCAAACCACCAUGGCUAAUAUCUCCACUUCAAAUGAUAACACCAAGGAGAGUAACCCAGUAAUCCAAUAAUCAUGCGCGACACACAUGAAAUUUCAUGUCCAGCAGUAGCGAAAACUUUGCGAACCAUUAGUGCAGGAUUUUGCACUUAAAACUGUGCAAAUUUGCUGCUUAAAUAGGUGCAAAACAUGCUAGAUUAAUUUAAUUUAACAAAUACCAGCUGCUUAAAUUCGAGUCGCUAACAGCUACUAUCGACUCGACUCAACCCGAUGACAGUCUCAAAACUUCAUCGCAAAGUGAAAUCAUACUCUCAACCAGUAGUCAUGAAGAAUCAAUAGCAAUUAAGAAAGGUAUUUCACCUAUGGACCUCAAAACGUGAUCAAAACAAUACAAAAGUACAUAUCUCAAUAGACCAUGAAAUUUUCAUAACGCCUAAAGUACAACAUGAACCAUGAAAAGUCAUUUUUACUCCCAAGAAAUCAAUUGACUGAAUCCAUAACAAGCUUAAACACUAACACAAUGUUGCGAGAAAGGAAUGGCGAAACAGAAAGUGUAGGAAAACAAUUUAAAGGUAGAAGACCUUUAAAUGUAAGAAGGAAAGAGAUUUUGUUUANNNN